rnacentral:rRNA from 1 species
UACGUAGGGUGCGAGCGUUAAUCGGAAUUACUGGGCGUAAAGCGUGCGCAGGCGGUUUUGUAAGACAGAUGUGAAAUCCCCGGGCUUAACCUGGGAACUGCGUUUGUGACUGCAAGACUGGAGUGCGGCAGAGGGGGGUGGAAUUCCACGUGUAGCAGUGAAAUGCGUAGAGAUGUGGAGGAACACCGAUGGCGAAGGCAGCCCCCUGGGUCGACACUGACGCUCAUGCACGAAAGCGUGGGGAGCAAAC